CUGGUUGUAGCCUGAAAAUAAAAUUUUGUUUGAAACGGACUGUAGAUGGCGCUAUCAACCGAGUAAAUACUCUAAGAUAACGCUGAUAAGAAAAAUAAAAAGAGUGUGGCUCUGACGCACUUAUGAUGUUCUGCAAAACAAGCAAUUAACUACUGGUAAAUAAGAAGCGCUGAAAA